AACAAAUAAAAUGAGACGUGAAUAGUAACUGUAUGAUGAUUAUU
rnacentral:guide_RNA from 1 species